AGAAGCUUGCUUCUCUUGAGAGCGGCGGACGGGUGAGUAAUGCCUAGGAAUCUGCCUGGUAGUGGGGGAUAACGUUCGGAAACGGACGCUAAUACCGCAUACGUCCUACGGGAGAAAGCAGGGGACCUUCGGGCCUUGCGCUAUCAGAUGAGCCUAGGUCGGAUUAGCUAGUUGGUGGGGUAAUGGCUCACCAAGGCGACGAUCCGUAACUGGUCUGAGAGGAUGAUCAGUCACACUGGAACUGAGACACGGUCCAGACUCCUACGGGAGGCAGCAGUGGGGAAUAUUGGACAAUGGGCGAAAGCCUGAUCCAGCCAUGCCGCGUGUGUGAAGAAGGUCUUCGGAUUGUAAAGCACUUUAAGUUGGGAGGAAGGGCCNUUACCUAAUACGUGAUGGUUUUGACGUUACCGACAGAAUAAGCACCGGCUAACUCUGUGCCAGCAGCCGCGGUAAUACAGAGGGUGCAAGCGUCAAUCGGAAUUACUGGGCGUAAAGCGCGCGUAGGUGGUUUGUUAAGUUGGAUGUGAAAUCCCCGGGCUCAACCUGGGAACUGCAUUCAAAACUGACUGACUACAGUAUGGUAGAGGGUGNUGGAAUUCCUGUGUUACCGGUGAAAUGCGUAAUAUA
rnacentral:rRNA from 1 species